CCAAAGGCUGAUCCAAUUUAUACUCACUACAGUGAGUGCCAGUGCCCUCUCUCCCACCUCCUUGUCAAUAAUGUGAUAUUGUUGAUUUUUCUUUACUUUACCCUUGUGUUGAGAAUAAAGGGAAUGUGUUUGAUUUAUAAUGUAUUCGACUAUUGGUCAAAUUUUUAUUCUUUAUUAUUUUUUACUUAGUGUUUUCCUCCUGUGAAUUAAGAAGUCAUAAUGUUGCCUGCUUUUGCUUGUAUCUGCUUAUAUUGUCUAUAGA
rnacentral:lncRNA from 1 species